UGCCCCAAGUUCAAACUGACCCUUAGAGAAGGAAAAAAGAAACAACAAAAAAAACCCCAAAGCUACUUUACGAAACACUGUUGAGAAACUGCUUCUGUCACACCCCCUUUUUCAGCGCACCAUCCCCACCCCGGCGAGGCGCGAGCACAGACCAGUUCGCUAACGCUGCCCGUCCCCAGGACACCAGCGCCCACGGAGACGGGCUCCGCCGCCUCGCCGGACUGCAGCUGGGUACCACUGCACCCGUUACAGUGGAUUUCUUCCAGUCUGCACUGGUGUGGCCCAGUGCCGAGCCUAGGGACGGGAGAGAGACCUGCCCGUGCAAGCGGUCAGAUAAGAGACGCAGCUCUGCACAUCGGAGAGGAAUACGCGUUUCUUUCAAUAAGAGGCAGAGAACAAAAAUCUGCCCUCCACUACAAAAGGCCAGCACCGAGGCCCCAGCCCUGUCACAGGCAGCAUGACCCAGGCAGCCCAGGUCCUAGCCACCUUCGUCCUCUGCCUCCGACUUUCAACAGACUUUGUGAAAGCAGCAUCAGACUCUGCUGCGCUAGUUCACCUGCUGGCCAGCUCUGACCCCCACAGGAAUGACACCGUCCUGACAACGCUUGUGAGGAAUUUCAAAAGGAAAGGGUACCUUAUUGCUCAGCCGAGCACUACGGCCCGUCUCCCUGGUGGGGCUGAUGAGAGCACGGUGGACGCCUGGCUUGCAGCCAGCAGGCUGCAGCGAUCCCGCCACGUCCUGAGCUCCUACGAGCUCCUCGACGCGAGUUGCACGGCUUUCUGCAAGAUGUGAGUUGCCCUGGCCCUGCAAAGCAAUCAGAAGUUCCAAUUAAUUGUCCCUC
rnacentral:lncRNA from 1 species